AUUGAACGCUGGCGGCAUGCUUUACACGUGCAAGUCGAACGGUAACAGGGUGCUUGCACCGCUGACGAGUGGCGAACGGGUGAGUAAUGCGUCGGAACGUGCCGAGUAGUGGGGGAUAACGCAGCGAAAGUUGUGCUAAUACCGCAUACGUACUGAGGUAGAAAGUGGGGGACCUUCGGGCCUCACGCUAUUCGAGCGGCCGACGUCUGAUUAGCUAGUAGGUGAGGUAAAGGCUCACCUAGGCGACGAUCAGUAGCGGGUCUGAGAGGAUGAUCCGCCACACUGGGACUGAGACACGGCCCAGACUCCUACGGGAGGCAGCAGUGGGGAAUUUUGGACAAUGGGCGAAAGCCUGGUCCAGCCAUGCCGCGUGUCUGAAGAAGGCCUUCGGGUUGUAAAGGACUUUUGUCAGGGAGGAAAUCCCUAGCGUUAAUACCGCUGGGGGAUGACAGUACCUGAAGAAUAAGCACCGGCUAACUACGUGCCAGCAGCCGCGGUAAUAC
rnacentral:rRNA from 1 species